GGAGGAAUACUUCAGUGGUAGAAUACCUGUCUAGCAAGCAAGAGACCAUGAGUUCAAACCCCAGUACCACCA
rnacentral:tRNA from 1 species